GAUGAACGCUAGCGGCAGGCCUAAUACAUGCAAGUCGAACGGCAGCACGGGUAGCAAUACCUGGUGGCGAGUGGCGCACGGGUGCGUAACGCGUAUGUAACCUACCUUAGACUGGAGAAUAGCCCCGAGAAAUCGGGAUUAAUACUCCAUAACAUUAUGAUGUGGCAUCACAUUAUAAUCAAAGCUCCGACGGUCUAAGAUGGGCAUGCGUGACAUUAGCUAGUUGGUGAGGUAACGGCUCACCAAGGCUACGAUGUCUAGGGGUUCUGAGAGGACAUUCCCCCACACUGGUACUGAGACACGGACCAGACUCCUACGGGAGGCAGCAGUAAGGAAUAUUGGUCAAUGGACGCAAGUCUGAACCAGCCAUGCCGCGUGCAGGAUGACGGCCCUAUGGGUUGUAAACUGCUUUUGUACGGGAAAAAACCUUCGGACGUG
rnacentral:rRNA from 1 species